AAAAAACAAACAAACAAGGAUACAAAACAAACGUGUCCAGAUUUGUAAAACUGUUGACCCCUUUCAGGCCGGAGCUUUAGCUUCAGUGUUUCCACUCCUUCAACCAACAUUAUUUUUCAACCCCUUAACAUGAUGAAUGUGAAUCAGAGUAUUCUGUUGUUAUUAUGUGUUGCAUAUCGGUGAAAAGCCGCUUUAACUUUUACUGGCGCUAAGCCGCUUUUCUCUGCCGAUCAGCUGAUUGACGUUGAUUGCGUAAGAAGUUACGGCAUGUCGAGGAGCAUAGAAGGUUUGACAGAGCCAUCGCUGGUGUUAAGGGUUUAAAGCAUAAAACAGAAUGGAACAAAACAGAACUGUUAGGGUCACCAGUUGAAUUAGACUUUUUUGACCAAAA